ensembl:lncRNA
GUCACUGACAGACUCGCGCCCGCGCCGCCCCUCGCCCCGCCGCAGCGCGCACGCGCGGCCCGCGCACGCCGCCGCCAGAUCCGGGGCACGCGCACGGUGCGCGCGCCGGGACGACAGGGCUGCGGGACAGAGGCGGGCCGUGUGCUGAGGCCCCGCCCUCCGCCCUGCGCCCGGGGCCGCGCCGCGCCCUGACCGCGGGCUGCGCGCGAUGCGGGGAUUACGGACGCCGCUGAGAGACCGCCGUUCCUCGCAGGUCGGCCCCCAGACCCGCUCGGGGAAACCUGAGGGCAUCUACUAGUUAAGGAGCUGCUGAGGUGCGACGUUUGGGACGUGGAAAUGUUUGCCCUCCCGCUCAACACACCUUGUUUAUAAAUGGAAGUUUGCGACUAUUGCCUGUGCCUAAAGGGAGGCUUCCCUUUCUUCAUAAGCCAUGAGCAAGUGUCACCCGAGACUCGAGACCUGAGCGUGUUUGUGGCGACCAUCGCGGUGCAGUCCGAGCCCCAGCCUCUGCUGGCCAGACAGAGCCUCAAGGAGGCCGUGGUUGACCCUGGAAAGCUGGUGCCACUGAGACGCAGCUUCUGCAGCCCCAGGGAGGGUUUCCCUUCCCGUCCUUGGGUCGUCUUCCCCUCCUCCUGGACAACUGUUUUUCCGUUUCCACAGAGGAAGUUUUCAAAGCAAAAGUGACCUGAUGAAAAAAAUUGAAGUUCAGAAGAGCAGUCAGUGAAAUAAGCGUAGGAAACUUACAUUGAGCGAAUGUGGCAGCCUGGGAGCUGCAACUGCGGAGUCCAUGCGCCACUGCUGCUGAAGGCCGUGCGCCCUAGAGCCUGUGCUCCACAAGAGAAACCUUCACAAUGAGAAGCCCGCACACCACAGCGAGGAGUGGCCCCUGCUCGCCAAAACCAGAGAAAGCCCUCUCAAAGCAGUGAGGACCCAGCAC